CAGCAGCCACGGUAAAACGUAGGGUGCAAGCGUUAAUCGGAAUUACUGGGCGUAAAGCGUGCGCAGGCGGUUUGGUAAGACAGAUGUGAAAUCCCCGGGCUCAACCUGGGAACUGCAUUUGUGACUGGCAAGCUAGAGUGUGGCAGAGGGGGGUGGAAUUCCGCGUGUAGCAGUGAAAUGCGUAGAUAUGCGGAGGAACACCGAUGGCGAAGGCAGCCCCCUGGGCCAACACUGACGCUCAUGCACGAAAGCGUGGGGAGCAAACAGGAUUAGAUACCCCAGUAGUCCCUGUCUCUUAUAC
rnacentral:rRNA from 1 species